rnacentral:misc_RNA from 1 species
UUUCCGUAGGUGAACCUGCGGAAGGAUCAUUACCCUUUCAAUGCACAAGGAUCGAGCGGGUAUAGGCAACUAUAUCCUCUCUCCUUGUUGUAUUACGCCCUUGUUUUUCAAAUUCUAUUUGUUUCCUCGGCAGGAUUUCCUGCCGGUUGGAUAAAACUAUAACCUUUUUAAUUUUCAAUCAGCGUCUGAACAAGUUAAUAAUUACAACUUUCAACAACGGAUCUCUUGGUUCUG